GGGGGAUUUGAGUCUAUAUUAAACCAAUAAUACUGUUUCUGGCAGGCAAGAGGUCACCGGUUCGACUCCGGUAUUCUCCACCA
rnacentral:tRNA from 1 species